UUUUUUUUUUUAUUAUUAUAUGUAAGUACACUGUAGCUGUCUUCAGACACACCAGAAGAGGGAGUCAGAUCUUGUUACGGAUGGUUGUGAGCCACCAUGUGGUUGCUGGGAUUCGAACUCUGGACCUUCGGAAGAGCAGUCGGGUGCUCUUACCCACUGAGCCAUCUCACCAGCCCCCCCCCUGAUAACUUCUAACAGUAGUUAGAAAUUGAUUCCUGGUUCCAGAAACUGUUUCCAGGACAGCCAGGGCUAUACAGAGAAACCCUGUCUCGAAAAGCCAAAAUAAAUAGAUAGGUAAAUAAAUAAAUAAAUAAAGGCAAAUCGUAACUGUUCUGGGCAGGUGGCUGCCUUGCCUACUAAAGUGUCUUUCUGUGGAAACAAAGCCUCUCUUCCCAUUGCUCUCUAUGCUACUGAAUUCUGUAUACACCCCAUUAGAAAAUCUACAACCAGCCCCAUUAUUAUAGUACUUUUCAUUUUCUGUUUAUGAAAAAGUGUUGAUCCCAAAGAUGAAAGGACAAAGAUCACCAUGGCCAAAUUAAUUAAAGCAAGCAAUUAAUUAAAGCAAGCUAUUUUAUUCAUGUACACUGGCUGCCUACCCCUCAGGACAGGUCAGCUUUGGAUGUAAGGAAGACAAGGCUUUUUAUAGUUUAGGGGUAAGCUGUUGGGUUUUUUGUUUUUGUUUUUUAACAAAAUCUCAGCCGUUUGAUUUUAUCAAUGAAGACUUGGGAGCCAGAUGCUGGGGGGACAGCCUGCUAGUUCAGAGACCCAGAGAAAGCACCCAGUUGACCAUCUUCCUCAGCUGAUACUCCAGAAGCAAUGCCCCUCUUUCUCCCACUCCCACUCAAAAGAACCUCCAGACAACUAAAUGCUCCUCCCUUCUACUCCCUAUGUGUCUCUGUCCUCCUGACUCCCUCUUACUCUCAAGACUUUUUUCUUAAUAAUCCUAUGGUCACUUCCUGUCAACUGGCCGCUUGUUCUGCCUCCUGACCUAUGGUUGAUUUUAUUUAACCCUGUUUACAUUAUUCAAGCAGAAAGCUGUUGAAUUAAAAGUAUAUGUUUAGGCUGACCCAUACCACAACUAAAACCAGGCUUUCCCAGUAAAUAACACAAUAUCAGGGUUCAUGGUGUGAUCAAAUAUCCUGCAACAGUAGGGGGUUCACAAACGGGGGAUUGGAUGGACAGAGCAGGUUGGGUUAUAGGAGAGGAACAGAGACAAAGACAUGGUUGCAAGAUGGGCAUGACAAGGCGGUUAUAACAAGGUAGGCAUAGAACAUUCUUGUUUCUUUGUUUGGGUUUUUCGAGACAGGGUUUCUCUGCAUGACAGCUCUGACUGUCCUGGAACUUGCUUUGUAGACGGGGGCUGGCAUUGAACUCACAUUCGGCCUACGUCUGCCUGCUAAGUGCUGCGAUUAAAAGCAUGCACCAUCAGCUCCUGGCCAUGUAACCUUUUGAAUCAAAGUAGGGUUGCAAGAUGAUUAUAAACGACUUUUUGAAACAAAGACAUGAUUGCCAUUCCUGGAACACUUGGUACAGAACCAUUUGUAGUUAAGGCUGUGGGGAGCGGGGCAUAGGCUAAUCCCUGAGAAACAGAGGUUUGAUUAUAAACAGGCAUGAACCUAGUUUGUUUUUUAUUGUAAGCUGUCUUUUAAACGUAAGAUGGAGGCAGGCUGAUUCUUCGAAAGGUCUCAGUACAUAGCCCAGUCUGGCUUCCAACUACAGGUGCCUGCCUCUAUGCCUGGACCUUGAGAGGCAUUUACUUUGUCUCUGUAAAAGUGUAGUAAUUUGGUAUUCCCAACAGCAGGCACGAUUCCUGACACAGUACAUACUCGGUUUCCUAGAAUCAGACCAUCUGUUGAAUGCAUCCAUUAUUUAAUAUCCUUGUGCUCUGAGAUGAGAACAGAUGGAUCAGAUGAGUGUUCUCCCAAGGCAACAAGGGAGAAAGGUAUACAGCAAGAACAAACACUUUUUUCUUCUUUUUCUUGAGACAGACUCUCAAGUUUACUACAAACUUGCCACACAGCCGAGGAUGAACUUAUCCUCCUGCCUCCACUUCCUAAAUCCGCUGGCAGGACCCAUCACACAGUAUCUCCCUUCCCGCCUCUGUUUGUUUUGAGUUAGGAACACAUUCCGUAGCACGCUAUCUGGAACUCACCAAAUGACACAGUAAUCCUUUUGCCGAAACCAUAGGACGCGUAUUAACAGGCAUGAGACACCGUCCAACGCUGACCUCCAACCAAAAAAUUUCGCAAAGCCACAAAGCCAAUGACCCAGACACGCACAUGGGAAAAUUCAAUAAAUUCUUUCUUGGGGGCCGGGGGGGGGGGUGGUGGUUGAGACAGUGUUUCUCUGUGUAGCCCUGUCUGUCCUGGAACUCACUCUGUAGACCAGGCUGGCCUCGAACUCAGAAAUCCGCCUGCCUCUGCCUCCCAAGUGCUGGGAUUAAAGGCGUGCACCACCACCGCCCAGCAAUCCAAUGAAUUCUUAAUUCACCCCCAUUAUUUGAAACGCUGUGAGUUUCUGGCUCACAGGUAAACUUUCUGGAACUAGCGAUCAAUUUCUAACUACUGUUAGAAGUUAUCAGGGAACCACGGUAAUGGAUGUGUGCCACUCUUCAGCCGUCGCCACAUUCCAAACUGGGGGUGGGGCUCAAAGCAAAGAAUCAGCACGCGCGAUGUCACCACCGCACAGGCGACCGCAAGGGGACAUCAACCCCACUCCAGCACCCGAAGUUCCUCUUCCCUCUCCCCCCCGCCCCGCCCCCAGUCCCCUCCCCUCUCCCGUAUCCUCUUCCCUUCUCCUCCUCCCUUCCCUAGGCCAUCUCCAAAUUCAACUCUAGUCUCCUCCCUCACGCCUUCGCCAAUGUCCGACACUCAACUGCUUCCUCUUCCCGUCCCAGAAGCGGCGUCUUCCAGUGCCGGGGAGGACGAACCGGAAGUGCGUCAUGACCUGGCGCCCAGUUAUUCGUUUUCCGCGCGCGUUCCGAGGAGCGGUUUUGGGCUCUCUUCGUUUUUCUCACGGUUCUCCACGGGUUUGGAGUGUUUCUAUAAGGCGGUGGCCACGAUUGCCGACAUGCCAUCGGUGCUGGGCUCUAUGAUGGUGGCCUCUACGUCGGCCGCCGCCUCCCUGCAGGAAGCUUUGGAAAACGCGGGGAGGCUUAUCGAUCGACAGUUGCAAGAAGACCGCAUGUACCCGGACCUUUCUGAGCUGCUCAUGGUGUCGGCCCCAAACAGUCCUACUGUUUCUGGAAUGUCCGACAUGGAUUACCCUCUGCAAGGACCAGGUUUGCUGUCAGUACCCAGCCUUCCAGAGAUCAGCACUAUCCGGAGAGUUCCCCUCCCGCCUGAGCUGGUUGAACAGUUUGGACACAUGCAGUGCAACUGCAUGAUGGGCGUUUUCCCCCCGAUCAGCAGAGCCUGGCUUACGAUUGACAGUGACAUAUUCAUGUGGAACUAUGAAGAUGGAGGUGACCUUGCCUAUUUUGAUGGACUCAGUGAGACAAUUCUUGCUGUGGGGCUUGUGAAACCAAAAGCUGGCAUCUUUCAACCUCAUGUAAGACACUUGCUGGUUUUGGCAACCCCUGUGGAUAUAGUAAUUCUUGGACUCAGCUAUGCUAAUGUACAAACAGGUUCUGGCAUUCUCAAUGACAGCAUGUGUGGCGGCAUGCAGCUGCUUCCAGAUCCCUUAUAUUCUCUUCCCACGGACAACACGUACCUUUUAACAAUCACGUCCACGGAUAAUGGCAGAAUCUUUCUGGCUGGAAAGGAUGGCUGUUUGUACGAAGUAGCAUACCAAGCAGAAGCAGGCUGGUUCAGUCAAAGAUGUAGGAAGAUCAAUCACUCCAAGAGCUCGCUCUCCUUCCUGGUGCCUUCCUUGCUGCAGUUCACGUUCUCAGAAGAUGAUCCUAUUGUUCAAAUUGAAAUUGAUAAUUCCAGAAAUAUUUUGUAUACACGAUCGGAGAAAGGAGUUAUACAGGUUUAUGAUUUGGGCCAUGAUGGACAGGGGAUGAGUAGAGUUGCUUCAGUUUCACAGAAUGCCAUUGUCUCUGCUGCUGGAAACAUUGCUAGGACUAUUGAUCGUUCCGUCUUUAAGCCAAUUGUUCAGAUAGCUGUGAUUGAGAGUUCUGAAUCCCUGGACUGUCAGUUACUGGCUGUCACUCACGCAGGUGUAAGGCUGUAUUUCAGCACUUGUCCGUUUAGACAGCCAUUAGCUCGGCCGAAUACACUGACACUGGUCCACGUCCGGUUACCUCCUGGAUUUUCAGCAUCAUCAACAGUGGAAAAGCCUUCAAAAGUGCACAAAGCACUUUACAGUAAAGGAAUUUUACUGAUGACAGCCUCAGAAAAUGAAGAUAAUGACAUUUUAUGGUGUGUCAACCAUGAUACAUUUCCUUUUCAAAAGCCAAUGAUGGAAACUCAGAUGACAACCCGUGUUGAUGGUCAUUCCUGGGCUCUCUCUGCAAUAGAUGAAUUAAAAGUAGAUAAAAUAAUUACACCGUUAAAUAAAGAUCAUAUUCCAAUAACUGAUUCGCCAGUUGUUGUACAACAGCACAUGUUGCCUCCAAAGAAAUUCGUUCUCCUCUCAGCACAGGGUAGUCUUAUGUUUCACAAGCUUAGACCUGUAGAUCAGCUGAGACAUCUGCUUGUGAGUAACGUGGGAGGGGAUGGAGAAGAGAUUGAGAGAUUCUUCAAAUUACAUCAGGAAGACCAAGCUUGUGCAACUUGCCUUAUUCUUGCUUGUUCCACUGCUGCCUGUGACAGAGAAGUGUCUGCUUGGGCAACACGGGCAUUCUUUAGGUAUGGUGGUGAGGCACAGAUGAGAUUUCCAGCUACUCUUCCUACUCCAAGCAACGUUGGUCCCAUCCUUGGCUCUCCUAUGUAUUCUAGUUCUCCUGUCCCUAGUGGGAGUCCCUAUCCAAAUCCAUCCUCCUUGGGGACACCAUCCCAUGGUGCUCAGCCGCCUACCAUGUCAACCCCAAUGUGUGCUGUUGGAAGCCCAGCCAUGCAGGCUGCAAGCAUGAGUGGUUUGACUGGGCCAGAGAUUGUGUACUCAGGAAAACACAACGGUAUUUGCAUUUACUUUUCUCGAAUCAUGGGAAAUAUUUGGGAUGCGAGCUUAGUUGUUGAAAGAGUAUUCAAGAGUUCCAACAGGGAGAUCACUGCAAUUGAGAGCAGUGUGCCCGUCCAGCUGCUGGAGUCAGUGCUGCAGGAGCUGAAGGGCUUGCAGGAGUUUCUAGACAGAAACUCCCAGUUUUCAGGUGGACCCCUGGGAAAUCCAAAUACUACUGCCAGAGUGCAGCAGCGGCUGGUUGGGUUCAUGCGUCCCGAGAAUGGAAACACCCAGCAAAUGCAACAGGAGCUGCAGAGGAAGUUUCAGGAGGCUCAACUGAGUGAAAAGAUUUCACUUCAGGCGAUCCAGCAGCUGGUUAGAAAAUCGUACCAAGCUCUGGCUCUCUGGAAACUCCUUUGUGAACAUCAGUUUUCUGUCAUUGUCGGAGAACUUCAAAAGGAAUUUCAAGAGCAGCUGAAGAUCACCACCUUUAAGGAUCUGGUGAUCAGGGACAAAGAGGUCACUGGAGCAUUAAUUGCUUCUCUUAUCAACUGCUACAUCAGAGACAACGCCGCCGUAGACGGCAUUAGCUUACAUCUGCAGGACACCUGUCCGCUUCUGUAUAGCACAGACGAUGCAGUUUGUUCUAAGGCAAAUGAGCUCCUUCAGCGUUCCCGACAAGUUCAGAGUAAGACUGAGAGAGAGAGGAUGUUACGGGAGUCACUGAAGGAGUAUCAGAAGAUCAGCAACCAAGUGGACCUUCCCAGUGUCUGUGCUCAGUAUAGGCAAGUGCGUUUUUAUGAGGGUGUGGUGGAACUUUCUCUUACUGCUGCCGAGAAAAAAGAUCCUCAGGGUCUUGGACUCCAUUUCUAUAAACAUGGGGAACCAGAAGAGGAUGUGGUUGGUCUUCAGACUUUCCAAGAGAGAUUAAACAGUUACAAGUGCAUUACGGAUACUCUGCAAGAGCUGGUAAAUCAAAGUAAGGCAGCUCCCCAGUCUCCCAGUGUACCCAAAAAGCCUGGGCCUCCAGUGCUGUCAUCUGAUCCCAACAUGCUGAGCAAUGAAGAAGCAGGACAUCACUUUGAACAAAUGCUUAAAUUGGCACAGCGGUCCAAGGAUGAGCUCUUCAGCAUUGCUCUUUAUAACUGGCUAAUACAAGCUGACCUUGCAGAUAAACUGCUACAGAUUGCGUCACCAUUUCUGGAGCCACAUCUUGUGCGAAUGGCCAGAGUGGAUCAGAACAGAGUCCGCUAUAUGGAUUUACUCUGGAGGUAUUACGAGAAGAACAGGAGCUUCAGCAGCGCCGCUCGGGUCCUAUCCAAGUUGGCGGACAUGCACAGCACAGAAAUUUCACUUCAGCAGCGACUAGAAUACAUUGCUCGAGCCAUCCUUAGUGCGAAAAGUUCCACUGCCAUCUCAUCCAUAGCUGCAGAUGGUGAAUUCCUGCAUGAGUUAGAAGAGAAAAUGGAAGUUGCUAGAAUCCAACUUCAGAUACAAGAGACACUACAAAGGCAGUACUCCCAUCAUUCUUCAGUGCAGGAUGCAAUUUCUCAGCUGGAUUCUGAGCUCAUGGACAUUACUAAGCUCUAUGGGGAAUUUGCUGACCCGUUUAAACUUGCAGAGUGUAAACUUGCAGUCAUUCAUUGCGCUGGUUACUCAGAUCCCAUAUUGGUGCACACACUCUGGCAAGAUAUCAUAGAGAAAGAAUCUUGUAACCAGUACCAUUAACCGACACCAGUGACACGUCCGUGUUCUCACUCAGAAGCACAGAAUCUGUUAGUUAAGUCAAUGCAGAUAUCGGUCCUGAAGUAUUUUGUAUCUUUAAGCAAUUAAGUAACCAAUGUAAACAUCUCACAUUUCUCCUGACCUGUCUUUUCCAGAAUUGAACGACAGCGUAGCAUUGAGCUCGUCAGAUCGAAUGCAUGCUCUCAGCCUCAAGCUUGUCCUCCUCGGCAAAAUCUAUGCUGGGACGCCUCGGUUUUUCCCUCUGGAUUUUAUCGUGCAGUUCUUGGAGCAGCAAGUUUGUACCUUAAACUGGGAUGUGGGGUUUGUGAUACAGACCAUGAAUGAAAUCGGCGUGCCUUUACCUAGGCUGCUAGAAGUUUAUGAUCAGCUCUUCAAAUCACGGGAUCCAUUCUGGAACAGAGUGAAAAGCCCACUGCACCUUCUGGAUUGUAUCCAUGUACUGUUGACAAGAUAUGUUGAGAAUCCUAGCCUAGUUUUAAAUUGUGAGAGGAGAAGGUUUACAAAUCUCUGCCUGGAUGCCGUCUGUGGAUAUCUGGUGGAACUUCAGUCAAUGAGUUCUUCAGUAGCAGUACAAGCCAUCACUGGGAAUUUUAAAUCGCUCCAAGCAAAGCUGGAACGGCUCCAUUGAUUACUGUAGUAUAUUUUCUUGUUUGCAUUUUGGUCUGUAAAAUAAAAGCUCAGCUGGGUCCAGAAA